UUGUUCCCAGGUGCGGGCAGCCUGAACCUCGUCACCUGGGGUUGCUCUGCUUCCCUUUUAAGGACAACCCGAUGUAUUUGCUCUGGCCCCCAGGAGGGUGCUCUGCUGUCCUGGGCCUGCACCCGCUGCACACACGCACCCACGCAGUCUUCCCGCUCCGUGCACCGUGACCAGAUGCCGGAAGCGGGGACGCCCGUCAUGCCGAGCUGGAACUGAUAACAGAACCACCUGCCCAGAACUAUGGCAGGGACCGUCAUCAAGCAGGUCAGCCGGAAACCCCGUGCCCCGGACUUAGCUUCUAGCUGUUCGUCAAGUAACAUCCGUUAACGCGUUACCGCCAAAGUCACCAUGUGAAAAUCAGGCAACGUGGAAAUGGG